UACGUAGGGUGCAAGCGUUAAUCGGAAUUACUGGGCGUAAAGCGUGCGCAGGCGGUGAUGUAAGACAGAUGUGAAAUCCCCGGGCUCAACCUGGGAACUGCAUUUGUGACUGCAUCGCUGGAGUGCGGCAGAGGGGAUGGAAUUCCGCGUGUAGCAGUGAAAUGCGUAGAUAUGCGGAGGAACACCGAUGGCGAAGGCAGCCCCCUGGGUCAAGAUUGACGCUCAUGCACGAAAGCGUGGGAGCGAACAGG
rnacentral:rRNA from 1 species